rnacentral:rRNA from 1 species
GUGUGAACGGGUGAGUAAUACAUCGGAACAUGUCCUGUAGUGGGGGAUAGCCCGGCGAAAGCCGGAUUAAUACCGCAUACGAUCUACGGAUGAAAGCGGGGGACCUUCGGGCCUCGCGCUAUAGGGUUGGCCGAUGGCUGAUUAGCUAGUUGGUGGGGUAAAGGCCUACCAAGGCGACGAUCAGUAGCUGGUCUGAGAGGACGACCAGCCACACUGGGACUGAGACACGGCCCAGACUCCUACGGGAGGCAGCAGUGGGGAAUUUUGGACAAUGGGCGAAAGCCUGAUCCAGCAAUGCCGCGUGUGUGAAGAAGGCCUUCGGGUUGUAAAGCACUUUUGUCCGGAAAGAAAUCCUUGGCUCUAAUACAGUCGGGGGAUGACGGUACCGGAAGAAUAAGCACCGGCUAACUACGUGCCAGCAGCCGCGGUAAUACGUAGGGUGCAAGCGUUAAUCGGAAUUACUGGGCGUAAAGCGUGCGCAGGCGGUUUGCUAAGACCGAUGUGAAAUCCCCGGGCUCAACCUGGGAACUGCAUUGGUGACUGGCAGGCUAGAGUAUGGCAGAGGGGGGUAGAAUUCCACGUGUAGCAGUGAAAAUGCGUAGAGAUGUGGAGGAAUACCGAUGGCGAAGGCAGCCCCCUGGGCCAAUACUGACGCUCAUGCACGAAAGCGUGGGGAGCAAACCGGAUUAGAUACUCUGGUAGUCCCACGCCCUAAACGAUGUCAACUAGUUGGUUGGGGAUUCAUUUCCCUUAGUAACGAAGCCUACGCGUG